UAGGGAGUGGUUUUCGACUUACAAGCAGAUAGAUGGAGGCAAUGUUUCUCACAACGAGAAUCCGCCUUUUUAGCGUCUGAAUUUAGCGUCCGACGAUAUAAGCGGACGGUAAAUUAAAAAUUAGCGUCCGGUAAACGACAGAUGCAAAUUAGCGUCCGCUUUUUGAGAUUUAGCAUCCGUUAUUUUAAACUGACGCUAAUUAGCGUCCGUCUAGUUAUAAUACCGUCCGAGGGACGGACGCUAAAUAAGAGGUAUAUAAAAAAAAAAACGUCCAGUCGACCUUAUUCUCAUCAACCCUAACCCACGCCUCUCUCUCUUCCUCACUCUCAUCUCACGUUUCUCUCUCUUCCUCACUCUUAUCUCACAUUUUCGUUCUCUCUUUCUUUCAUAUCUCACGAAAUAAGUUGCUGGCAAUAAUCUUACCUGUAGUUGGCUUUGGAAUAUUCCUCUGGUGGGCAGGAAGAGACAUAAUUCAAGAUUCUGUAAGAUUUCAUAAACUUCCUUACUUUGAGGCCUUUUAUUUUGGUAAAUGGAAAUUAUAUUACCAAGAUAUAAUACAGUGAGUUGAAAGUUGAAACCAUACAGCUAACAAAACAACCACUAUAGAUGGAAGCAUCUUAUUCUAGAAAACCCUUCAAGGAAGGCUUCCCUUGAUAAGUUUGAUCAUGUGUAUUUAAACUUUUUAAAAAACCAUCAAAGUCCCUCUCCCAUGACAUGAAGUCUUUUUAACACCAACGCAUCUACUGAUCUACAGAGGACCAUAUGUUGGAGUUGUCAUCCUGAUUACUACUCCUAAAAGCACCUGAUGUUCCUUUCUUUCUAGAUGCAAUACACUGUAAUCAUCAACCCCAUUCUGGAAACAUGUUGGACAGACUUGGAAGUACAGUGGCAAGCAUAAGAAAUCUCUAAAUUUGAAUCUGUCGGAUUCUCUGUGGAAGACAAAGGUUCCUUUCCAAACCUCAGGGAAGCAGCUGCAUCUAAAAAACAAAUCGUUUAUAGACACUUAUGCUUUUGGUAUAAUAAUUAAUACCCAUUACUUUUUGCCAAUCAAACAAAUUGUUAGAAAAUACACUUUAAUGAACACCCUAAUUUAGGGGGAUAUGGGUUUGGGCUUGGGUGGAAAGAGAUGGAUAAUGCAUGUAUGUAUGUCUUUUAUCUAUGCAUAUUCCUUUGGACCUACACUUUUACAGGUAUGUGAUAAAUUUUAUAGUCUUGCUGACUUAAGAUAUGUUGCCAAUUAUAUUUUUUCUUAAUUCUCAAUGAACCUUGUCUUAGACUCAAUUUUGCUCAGGUUUAUCGUGGAAUUUUUAUACUCUUAGAUCUGCUGGACACCUUGGUCAAGAAGCAUGUUUGGCUCAAGUAGCCGGAAGAUAUUGGAAUGAAACUUAGACUUGUGGUCAACUACAGUGGCAUGAAAAUCAAUACAGUUAAAGGGGUUAUCAGAUUUGCGUUUGAGUUCCAGAUUUUUGUUGUGGAGUUUAAAGUUUACAUGUAAUUAUAUGAGAUUUGUAUUAGAUUUUGUUCUAAGUAUACUAGAAUUUAGUUCUAGAAUUAUUUUUAUACUUGUAUCUACAUUUAUUAUCAAUAAUAAUUGAAUUAAUUAAUUUGUUUGCCUUGAUAAAAGAAGUAUGGUAUU